rfam:Haladaptatus litoreus strain CGMCC 1.7737 genome assembly, contig: Ga0104463_101
AGUCCCGUGGUGUAGCGGCCAAUCAUAAUGGCCUUUGGACGUGACUGGUUUUCCAGUUGCGGAAGACAGCCAUUGACGGCGGUUCGAAUCCGCCCGGGACUA